GAAAAUGCCAGUGAGGUGGAGGUGUCUGACUCAAGAGUGGCCUCGGGGCUGUACUUGCAGGCUGCGGGCGAUGAAGGCAGGUGAGGACAGAGGGCACCUGUCACCUCCCACCCCCGUCCCUUAGGUGUUUGGCUUGAUCCUACCCUCUCCUCCACAGGGCCUGUUCUCUGCUCACUGUCACCAUUUCCUGCCCGGGGCCUGAUCCUCCUGAGGGGCCUGGGAUCCAGGGCAUGUGGCGAGGGGCCUUGAGGAUCCUGCAGCUCCCCAGAGCCCUAGAUUGCCCCCUGCUGCAGGUAUUGGCUGGUAAGGUUAUUGGUGAGGAGGUGGAGGGCUCGUUGCCCUGGAUUGUCUCGCGGCUCCUGGAAGGAAACAACUACAGUGGCAUUCUUCUUCGCCUGGACCCUCAAGGUGGCUCCCCAAGCUUGCUCUGGGCUGCUCUGUCGGGGGCCGAGGGA